GAUGAACGCUAGCGGCAGGCUUAACACAUGCAAGUCGAGGGGUAGAGGUUGCUUGCAACCUUGAGACCGGCGCACGGGUGCGUAACGCGUAUGCAACCUACCUUUUACAGAGGGAUAGCCCAGAGAAAUUUGGAUUAAUACCUCAUAGUAUAUAGUCUUCGCAUGUUGGUUAUAUUAAAGUUCCAACGGUAAAAGAUGGGCAUGCGUCCUAUUAGCUAGAUGGUAAGGUAACGGCUUACCAUGGCAACGAUAGGUAGGGGUCCUGAGAGGGAGAUCCCCCACACUGGUACUGAGACACGGACCAGACUCCUACGGGAGGCAGCAGUGAGGAAUAUUGGACAAUGGGCGCAAGCCUGAUCCAGCCAUGCCGCGUGCAGGAAGAAGCAUCUAUGGUGUGUAAACUGCUUUUGUACAGGAAGAAACACCCCGACGUGUCGGGACUUGACGGUACUGUAAGAAUAAGGAUCGGCUAACUCCGUGCCAGCCGCCGCCGUAAAAC
rnacentral:rRNA from 1 species